rnacentral:rRNA from 1 species
GAUGAACGCUGGCGGCGUGCCUAAUACAUGCAAGUCGAGCGAACGGACGAGAAGCUUGCUUCUCUGAUGUUAGCGGCGGACGGGUGAGUAACACGUGGAUAACCUACCUAUAAGACUGGGAUAACUUCGGGAAACCGGAGCUAAUACCGGAUAAUAUUUUGAACCGCAUGGUUCAAAAGUGAAAGGCGGUCUUGCUGUCACUUAUAGAUGGAUCCGCGCUGCAUUAGCUAGUUGGUAAGGUAACGGCUUACCAAGGCAACGAUGCAUAGCCGACCUGAGAGGGUGAUCGGCCACACUGGAACUGAGACCAGGUCCAGACUCCUAAGGGAGGCAGCAGUAGGGAAUCUUCCGCAAUGGGCGAAAGCCUGACGGAGCAACGCCGCGUGAGUGAUGAAGGUCUUCGGAUCGUAAAACUCUGUUAUUAGGGAAGAACAUAUGUGUAAGUAACUGUGCACAUCUUGACGGUACCUAAUCAGAAAGCCACGGCUAACUACGUG